rnacentral:lncRNA from 1 species
ACGGAUAUUCUUCUUUUGUGUUUAUCCUUGAUAUGUUCAUCUUAACCGAUGACGGAUACUCUCUCUUUAGUUUUCUGCCCAUGAAGAGGUAGUUGUAAAUCCUAUUUGGUUUCUUUUUCCCAGUAGGUUAUUCUUACCCAGUAACCGGUAAUGAAUAUUCCUUAUUUUCCUCAGCGAGUUAUCCUUGAUAUGUUUACCCUAACCGGUAACGGAUGUCCCUAUGUCCAAGUGUAUUAUCUUCUUACCCAAUAAUCGGUAGUAG